rnacentral:tRNA from 4 species
GCUGCUGUAGCUCACCUGGUAGAGCGUCGGCGUCGUAUCCCGAAGGCAUCCGGUUCAAGUCCGGACAGCAGCUC